UACGGAGGGGGCUAGCGUUGUUCGGAAUUACUGGGCGUAAAGCGCACGUAGGCGGCUUUGCAAGUUAGAGGUGAAAGCCCGGGGCUCAACCCCGGAAUUGCACCUCAAACUACAUGGCUAGAGUACUGGAGAGGAGACGGAAUUCACGGUGUAGCAGUGAAAUGCGUAGAUAUCGUGAGGAACACCAGAGGCGAAGGCGGUCUCCUGGACAGUUACUGACGCUCAGGCACGAAAGCGUGGGGAGCAAAAGGG
rnacentral:rRNA from 1 species